GACAGAGGGUGCAAACGUUGUUCGGAAUUACUGGGCGUAAAGCGCGUGUAGACGGCCGGGUAAGUCGGGCGUGAAAGCCCACGGCUCAACCGUGGAAGUGCACUCGAAACUACUUGGCUAGAGUCCUGGAGAGGAAGGCGGAAUGCUUGGUGUAGAGGUGAAAUUCGUAGAUAUCAAGCAGAACACCUGCGGCGAAGGCGGCCUUCUGGACGAUGACUGACGCUGAGACGCGAAAGCGUGGGGAGCAAACAGG
rnacentral:rRNA from 1 species